rnacentral:lncRNA from 1 species
UUAGAAACCAGUCCCCGAGGCUUUGCAGAGCAGGAGCCCUCCGUGGCAGUGCUUGGGUAUCGAGGCUCUGAGGCUCCGGUCUCACCUCUCCACGGGCUCGAAGGGAAACUCUCCUGAUGCCAGCAGUCGCAAAGGGCCGACUAUGAAGAUGAAACCCCAGGCGGAGACGGGGGAAGCAGCACGGGAUCCCAGCCUCAGGCCUGCACGGACGGUGUUGGUUGGGGGUACCUUGGGACAGAGGGAGUGCAGAGCAGAGAAAACCUACCUGUGCAACUGAGAAGGCCGCUCAGGCCACGGGGACAGGGCAGGAAUGCUCUCAGGAGUGUCCCCUGAACCUGAACUUGAUUUCACGCCAUCACCUUCCACCUCUUAACCAGCAUCUCCUGGACAGUCAGCCGAGUGUUUCCAUGAUACCAGCCAUACCUGAUGCCAGGAGACUCGCUACACUUGGAAGCUCUUCAAGGCAUGCUUAUCUUUGUGAACUGAAUCUUGGAGAAGCAGGAUUGAAAAUAAGAGCUAUCUUUGAGGCUCUAGCACCUACAAGAGACACCCUCCCUCUCCACCAUGGAUCACCUGUCUCACCCGUGUGAGUCUCCACACAGAAACCAGUCAUGGCCCUGCCUUUGCCCCCCUUGAAAUCACCCAAGAGGAUGCUUCAAACUCAGGCAAGCACAACUGAUACUCACUCUGCAUGCAACAGCAGGGGAGUGACCUUACAAGAAACUAAUGGGCCUCACUUCCUGAGAAUCACUGUCAGAGCCCAUAACAUAAGAUAAAUCACAGCCAAGGAUUUUUGAAAAGUUUCCUGAUGAGAGAACCAUGACCUUUUCAAGGGUAGUGAUGGAUUGAUCAGGGCAAGCAAUAGGUAGAUUUUUUAAAACAAGCCUGGCACAAAAACAAUGAUAUAUAUCUACCAAAGUUGGCUAGAAUACCUGGCUGAUGUCCCAGUCAGGAAACACAGGAAAAGGUUACAUCUGUAGAAAAAAAACAGCUUGUUAAGCAAAACAAUGCAGUCAAAAACCAAGCUCACUGUAAGAAAUGCCAUGUGGGCCAGUGGGGACGGCCAUGCCGAAAGCGCUCAGUGCUCCUGAAGCUGGGUGGCAGGUGUUUUCACACACAAAGGCCUUCCUUGCUCGGGCCAUGGGAUAAGCCUUUGAGUGGAGACCUAGCAAGGAGCUUUGAAGUCUGCGUUGGGGGUGGAAGGUGGCAAUCCCAUUAGACAGCUCUCCCUGGUGUGAAUUUAUGAAGCCCCAUGCAGACUGUGACUUUUAAAAUAAUCAUUUAGUUGGUUCUAGCACAUAUCGCAGGUUUCAUUACAGGCUGCCCCUUAACGAGCAUUGUAACCUGGAGGAAAGAAUCCAAAUUCUUUAGUCACCACCUAACUCCACAUUCAUUACCUUGUUGCCCAGGGUGGAGUCCAAAAGCAGCAACUAUGUUUAUUUCUCCAUAGAAAAUAAAUGUUCACCAAGGCACGUCUG